GAUGAAGAACGUAGUGAAAUGCGAUAAGUAGUGUGAAUUGCAGAAUUCAGUGAAUCAUCGAAUCUUUGAACGCACAUUGCGCCCCUUGGUAUCCCGAGGGGCAUGCCUGUUCGAGCGUCAUUUCACCACUCAAGCCUGGCUUGGUGUUGGGCGACGUCCUCUUUGGGGACGCGCCUCGAAACGCUCGGCGGCGUGGCACCGGCUUUAAGCGUAGCAGAAUCUUUCGCUUUGGAAGUCGGGGCCCCGUCUGCCGGAAGACCUGCUCACAAGGUUGACCUCGGAUCAGGCAGGGAUACCCGCUGAACUUAAGCAUAUCAAUAAGCGGAGGA
rnacentral:misc_RNA from 1 species